rnacentral:pre_miRNA from 1 species
AGGAGCAACAGCCCUAGUGGCGGGGCCAGCUCUGCAGCCCUGGAGUCAGCCCCCGCAGUGGCUCCGGAGCUCUCCGUCUGCAGGGCCUGGAGGCUCCGGGGCGGG